rnacentral:sRNA from 1 species
GGAUGUGAGGGUGAUCUGGCUGCAAUAUCUGUCAUCCCAUUUUUUGCCAGGGUUGAUUCCGCUGAUCUGGCUGGCUGGCUAUGCGGGUGUCCCCUUCCUCCCUCACCACUCUGCAUGCUCGGUCAAAGAGAAUGUCCUUACCCAGAUAGAGAAGGACUAGUCUUCAGUCAAGGGUCAUUGGUAAAGGGUAUGUGAAUAGCCACACUCUCCUGCUAUAAUCUCCAAACAAACUCAAAUAUAUCUUUAAAUUUUUCAUUU